UUUAAUUGGUAAAAUAUAUAUUCCAUAAUUUAUAAACUACAAAUUGAUUUAUAAAAACAUAGCAGUCUUAAAACAAUGUUACAGGUAAGGAUCAACAACGAAUCAAAAACAAUAGACAAAACUUUGCAUUUUGAUCAUGCGAUUUGCAAGUAUUUUCUAUUUGUCUUGAAGCUCAGUAGCCAUUUUAUCUUGUGAAGUUUUUGGAGCCUGCACAUAACUCAUCAGUUCAGUGCCAGACCUAGACAGAUUGGGUGAGUUGGAGCAAGCUCUGCAUUCGCAAUAUGGAGCGUCACGGGAGUGUCUGAAACCCCUUUACCAGAUCCUGCAACACAUGUCAACUACUUAUCACAAUCAAAACUUAUUUUGGUUCACUCUUGAUCAUACAACACUAAAGUUCAUCACAAAGCAAAACUAAUCUAUCAUCAUGAAGCAAAACUAAUCCAUCAUCAUGAAAAAUAUAAUAUCCCUAAAAGCCGAGAAAAGCUAGUCAAACACAAAUUUACAUUUACAGACAAGCUUCAAGUCUCCAUGAAUUAAAUGAGUAAUAGGAUAUCAACUGAUACACUAAAAAAAGAAGGUUUAACAUUUACCUUGAGGUCUUGACGAUCUUGCAGUUUAGGAACAAUGUCUCUGUGUUUCAUGUCAUCAUAAACUUCAUCAAAUGCAAAAGCAGAAGGAUCCUCCUCCAAUGUUUUCUUAUGCUUGCAACUAUAUCCACAAGUUGCUUCAGGUGGAUAGUUUCCGUACCUGCAGAAAAAUGACCACGAUUAGCGCUCUUUAUUUGUAACAUAUUCUUCUAAGUUCGAACCUUAUAUCUACGUUAGAAAAUAUCAAACGAUAACCUUAGCUACACUGUGACCCAACCCUUCAGCUAAUCUAUCCUGCUCCUUGCCUGAACAUAGGGUUAUACCUAACACAAAGAACUGAAACAUAAAACUUGAAUCCUCAUUACAGAAACAGAACAAAGAAGGGACGAUUGGAUGUUCAAAAUCUCCAUAUAAGAAUGAUAGAGCUUAAUCCGCCAUUAGCAUCGUCAAAAGGGAUCUUUUUCUAGCUAUUGAGAACUCUACACCAAUCCAAGAUUAUCCCAAAUACCAAAAAAUUGCAGAGAUUCAUCAAAAGGGAAUUUUUUUUCUCGACAAUAUGAAAGGAUUUAUGGGUCUAGUGUGGCUAAACACACACAAUGAAAUGUGACAUCGUCCUAAUGAAUCUCCAUACAAAUCUUGUUUGAUGCACCAAGAAGAUAGAUGAGAAGAUGAACAGAAAAAAAAUGAAGUUUUAAAGUUUAUGUUUAGGGAUUAGGGUUUAAACCCUAAAAUCUAAAACUUAAACACAGUCCUCAAAACUUAAAUAUUUUCUUAUUUUAAUCUUAGAUUUUAAGUUUCAUUCAAAAUUUAUAUUUUUAUAAAUUUAAUUUCAAAUAUUAAUUUUAAACCUCAAACCAUAAACUAUACUUAUAUAUAUCAUAUCCCAAAUUUAUCAUAUACCAUAAACUAUAACUAAAAAUUUUAAAACUCUUUUCAUUAGUUAAUUUAAAAAUUUAAAUUUAAUCUAAAAGUUUGGUCUUAAAUCUAAUUAAACCCCGAGACACUAUACUCCAAACCCUAUAAUUAUAUGAAAAUCUUUAAUUUAUUUAAAUAGGAACUUUAUAAAUAUAAAAUAUAAUUUAAUUUUUAAACAUAAAUAUCACUCCUUUGUUAAUCCUCCUUUUAAUUGGUAAAAAAUAUAUUCCAUAAUUUGUAAACUACAAAUUGAUUUAUAAAAACAUAGCAGUCUUAAAACAAUGUUACAGGUAAGGAUCAACAACGAAUCAAAAACAAUAGACAAAACUUUGCAUUUUGAUCAUCUGAUUUGCAAGUAUUUUCUAUUUGUCUUGAAGCUCAGUAGCCAUUUUAUCUUGUGAAGUUUUUGGAG
rnacentral:lncRNA from 1 species